UACGUAGGUGGCAAGCGUUGUCCGGAAUUACUGGGUGUAAAGGGAGCGCAGGCGGGAAGCCAAGUCAGCUGUGAAAACUACGGGCUUAACUUGUAGACUGCAGUUGAAACUGGUUUUCUUGAGUGAAGUAGAGGUUGGCGGAAUUCCGAGUGUAGCGGUGAAAUGCGUAGAUAUAUGGAGGAACACCGGUGGCGAAAGCGGCUCUCUGGCCUGUAACUGACACUGGGGCUCGAAAGCGUGGGGAGCAGACAGG
rnacentral:rRNA from 1 species